UGAGGAAUAUUGGUCAAUGGGGGCAACCCUGAACCAGCCAAGUCGCGUGAAGGAUGAAGGUCUUAUGGAUUGUAAACUUCUUUUACACGGGAAUAAAGCGGGGGACGUGUCCCCCUUUGCAUGUACCGUGUGAAUAAGGAUCGGCUAACUCCGUGCCAGCAGCCGCGGUAAUACGGAGGAUCCGAGCGUUAUCCGGAUUUAUUGGGUUUAAAGGGUGCGCAGGCGGGAUGUUAAGUCGGCGGUGAAAUUUUGCAGCUCAACUGUAAAAGUGCCUUCGAUACUGGCCUCCUUGAGUGUGGAUGAAGUAGGCGGAAUUUGUGGUGUAGCGGUGAAAUGCUUAGAUAUCACGAGGAACUCCGAUUGCGCAGGCAGCUUACUAAGCCACAACUGACGCUCAUGCACGAAGGCGUGGGGAUCAAACAG
rnacentral:rRNA from 1 species